rnacentral:misc_RNA from 1 species
UCAUACAUACAGUUUGUAGUUAGGACAAAGAAUUAUGCUAUUCAGUGAAACAAUUUGCGGUUCUUAAAGCUUUUCUCAUGCUGCCAGGGGAAAUACUUUUUGCUAGUUAAUUUCAACUAAUAUUUAGAUAUUCUCAAGCAGGCGGCAUGCCUGAUGCCAGCAGUUUGCUGUAUCAUUUUUGAUAGGUUGAGUCCUAAUUAAUAUACGACUAAAGUGGAUUUUAAUUUCACAUUUUAUUUUAAGGGCUAUGAAUACUUUUGUAAACAAGGGGAGAAUCGUAAUUUCUUUGAGGGCAAAAAAGGGUUAUCAUGAAAAGCAAGUAUUCGGCUUCUGCAGAGAAGUUCAGUCCCUUCAAUAGUUUGGCUAAAAAAACAGAUAAAUUCAGGCUAGCUUUUCCUUAAUAUCCAACAUUAUAUGUUAAUGCAACCCCUAUAACUUCUAAAUUUUAUUUGUCAUUACCGUAUUUCUCUUCCUUUCAUGAAGUUUAGAGAAUGAGAGGAAAAUAGUGUAUAAUCCAUAUCUGUUUCUUCAGAAGACUAUAAACUAACAAAUUUAGG